CGACCGGCGCACGGGUGAGUAACGCGUAUGCAACCUGCCUGAUACCGGGGUAUAGCCCAUGGAAACGUGGAUUAACACCCCAUAGUACUUUUAUCCUGCCUGGGAUGUGAGUUAAAUGUUCAAGGUAUCGGAUGGGCAUGCGUCCUAUUAGUUAGUUGGCGGGGUAACAGCCCACCAAGACGAUGAUAGGUAGGGGGACUGAGAGGUUAACCCCCCACACUGGUACUGAGACACGGACCAG
rnacentral:rRNA from 1 species